rnacentral:rRNA from 1 species
GAUGAACGCUAGCUACAGGCUUAACACAUGCAAGUCGAACGAAGCACUUAAUGAGAUUUCUUCGGAUUGAUUAUUUGUGACUGAGUGGCGGACGGGUGAGUAACGCGUGGGUAACCUGCCCCAGACCGGGGGAUAACAGUCGGAAACGACUGCUAAUACCGCAUAAGCGCACAGUGCCGCAUGGCACGGUGUGAAAACUCCGGUGGUCUGGGAUGGACCCGCGUCCGAUUAGUUAGUUGGUGGGGUAACGGCCACCAAGACUGCGAUCGGUAGCCGACCUGAGAGGGUGACCGGCCACAUUGGGACUGAGACACGGCCCAAACUCCUACGGGAGGCAGCAGUGGGGAAUAUUGGGCAAUGGGGGGAACCCUGACCCAGCAACGCCGCGUGGAGGAAGAAGGUUUUCGGAUCGUAAACUCCUGUCCUUGGAGACGAGUAGAAGACGGUAUCCAAGGAGGAAGCCCCGGCUAACUACGUG